UGACACAGCAUACAGUAAUCCUGGACAUCAGAACUCGCUGGAAUUUAAUCUAUCUAAUGAUAGACAGAUUUCUUGAGCAAUAUCCUGUCAUCCAAGCAGCUUCCAUGGAUCCAAGGCUGAGAGACUCAAUGGAGAGGGACAGAUUGGAACGGAUCACUGACGAAGACCUCAAAAAGGCAGAGGAGAUUACAAAGCUCAUGAGUGUAAUGUACACUUCCACUCUAUGUGUAUAAAGUGACAGUAAUUCAACCUGUGGCCAAGUCCUUCCUAUCCUCCAGAAACUUGAAGAACAUUUUCAAGUUCAAGAGAAUGACACACUCUUUGUGGCUGGAAUAAAGAAAAAGGUUUGGGAAAAUCUGUCCAAGCAUUACCAGAAUGAGGACAUCAGGCACUUCCUUGAAGAGGCAACAGUAAUGGAUCCACGCUUCAAAAAUAAGCUACUUGCAGACAACAUUUGGGAGAGGGUGAAACUGGCUGCAGUAAUGGCAUGAAACAAGGUAUUGUUGUUUUCUUUCACACAAACACACAUAGGGAACAAUGUUGUAAGAAUGGAGCCGAAUCGUCUGGACUGAGGGACGACUUCUCCCUAAGAAAACAAAGGACUAUCCUGAUAAUUAACAUUUGAACCCUCUAUUUGAAUACCCUUCAUCAUAAGUAACGGUGCCAUUGAAAAUGCACCACACCUGGUAGUUCACACCUCACCAUCACACUCCCUCCACUUAGUUUCACUCACUUGCCAAUAGUAUAAUAUUCUGCAUUAAUGCAAGUGAUAUUUACAGACAAGUUUGGUGUCAUUUGAAUUGUCUCAAGGCGACUGAUACAAUGGUCUCAACCUUAGAAAAUUAGAUUAAAAGAUAAUACAGAUCCUAAGAGUUAAGAGAUAUUUUGAUUAAUGUAAUGGGAGUGCCCUUUUCCAGGGUCUUCCAUGUAAAUUACCUUCUGUUCCCAUUGAGGGGUAAACUACCCUGGUCUGAGACCUGACCUAAUUAAAUUCAAAUUGUUAGUUUCUGUCUUCCAUCUCCGGGGGAUGUUGGUUUUGGUCUGAGGUAUUUAAAGGAUUGCAGAAAAAGGAUCAGGGCGAUUCUGUAGCCAGAAAUCCUGUAGUGUGGUGUGUCUCUUCACUUCAUGUAGUUAAUUGGUAUUAACUAAAGUUUCGAGGCAGGGGCACGCCCAAACAAUCACCUGACUUCUAAGAACCUCAAUAUAUACCGGGCCACGUCACACCGCACUGCUAGUCUCAUUCUCUCGAAGGACAGGUGUACUUGCCUGGUUCUGGGCCACGAGUGCCCACUCUCAGGCUCAUCUCAGGUGGAUUCUGAACUGUUACCGGCCUCCUUGAUCCCCGUCAGUAAGAUCCGCGGGCCGAGUUCGCCAUCAUCAUUUGCAUGGUGGACACAGAAACUGAAUUCUUGCUCCCGUCGCGCCCGCUCUCUCACACUUCCUCAGCGCUCUGAUUGCACGUCUUCUAUAACCCAGAGCCGAGGACAACUGAAUCACUGGUCACCUUCAACACUUCAAUCCAAGGUAUCCAAUUCCAUCAUACAGAUAACAAAGUUAUUUCAACUAAAUUUAGUUUCUAUAAAACUUCUGUCAUGACAAACUUUGAGCCCUCAGCACUUCCGGCAACUCCACUCUCCGUCACACAUGACGUCACAGGAAUUCUCCUUCACAGCAUCAAACAGCAGCGCCCCCUAGCGGCAGCAAGACAUAAUUCUAUCUGCACUCAUUCAACCUGAUCUCUCUUCUCUGCACUCACAUUUCGUUCAUAAAACUCCACUCACAAACAUCCUUUCAUCCUAACAUCCAUUCCUAUACCCUUCUUUCCAGCUGAUAACAGCAAUAGAGUUCACAGCUCAAAGACACGCAGGCUGGUCAAAUUGAACAGUCUAAAUUGUUUCCCCCUUGACUCGUAUGUAUUAAAGACUUGUGCAUGGAUUGAUUUUAUGUAUUAACUGAUUUUUGCCAUGACAUAUAGCCUCAUAUGCUGGUAUGGCUUAAUAAGUAAAUAGACAACAAUCAGCAAUACGGCUCCAUGUUUUCUAAUAAUUCUCUACAGACCAGCUCAUGCAGACCAGCCGGUCUCCCUUCAACCUACAAUUCUAUUUAAAUCUUUUUUUCAUUCUCUACCUCCCAACCUCCCUCUCUCACUGCAUCUUGCAUCACACCCCACUCACAAACAUCCUUUCAUCCCAACAUCCUUUUUCCACCCUAACUUCAGCUGUUUACAGGAAUAUGGCCCUGUGUUUCUAAUUAUCCCUAACAAAUCUGACAUCAACCGUGUCAUAAUGUUGUUACUUUUGCACAAAUAGCAUUAUUAAAUCCGCAGCUAUCACCACCACCACGGCGGUACCUCAGGUGGAUGACCACACAGCUAACAACAGCACCACCACUACAGUGCCUCAGCGGUCGAGCCUGCAAUUUACAACGAACAUUCAGCUACAACAGCACCGCCACCAGCGCCUCAGGCGAAAUGAUCAUUCAGCUACAACAGCAUCGCCACCAGCGCCUCAGGCGAAAUGAUCAUUCAGCUACAACAGCACUGCCACCAGCGUCUCAGGCAAAAUGAUCAUACAGCUACAACAGCACCGCCACCAGCGCUUCAGGCGAAACA